rnacentral:rRNA from 1 species
CAGCAGCCGCGGUAAUACAGAGGGUGCAAGCGCUAAUCGGAGUUACUGGGCGUAAAGGGCGCGUAGGCGGUUGUAUAAGUUGGAUGUGAAAUCCCUGGGCUUAACCUAGGAACUGCAUUCAGAACUGUAUGACUAGAGUAUUGUAGAGGGUAGUGGAAUUUCCGGUGUAGCGGUGAAAUGCGUAGAGAUCGGAAGGAACACCAGUGGCGAAGGCGGCUACCUGGACAAAUACUGACGCUGAGGCGCGAAAGCGUGGGGAGCAAACAGGAUUAGAUACCCUGGUAGUCCACGCUGUAAACGAUGAGAACUAGAUGUUGGUAGGCAUGACCUAUUAGUAUCGAAGCUAACGCGAUAAGUUCUCCGCCUGGGGAGUACGGCCGCAAGGUUAAAACUCAAAGG